rnacentral:rRNA from 1 species
UACGGAGGGUGCAAGCGUUAUCCGGAUUCACUGGGUUUAAAGGGUGCGUAGGUGGGCUAGUAAGUCCGUGGUGAAAUCCCUGAGCUUAACUUGGGAACUGCCAUUGAUACUAUCUGUCUUGAAUACCGUGGAGGUGAGCGGAAUAUGUCAUGUAGCGGUGAAAUGCUUAGAUAUGACAUAGAACACCAAUUGCGAAGGCAGCUCGCUACACGAGUAUUGACUCUGAGGCACGAAAGCGUGGGGAUCAAACAGG